rnacentral:rRNA from 1 species
GAUGAACGCUGGCGGCGUGCCUUACACAUGCAAGUCGAACGGCAGCACGGGUGCUUGCACCUGGUGGCGAGUGGCGAACGGGUGAGUAAUACAUCGGAACGUACCUUAUUGUGGGGGGUAACGCAGCGAAGGCUGUGCUAAUACCGCAUAAUCCCUAAGGGGGAAAGCGGGGGACCGUAAGGCCUCGCGCAAUUAGAGCGGCCGAUACCUGAUUAGCUAGUUGGUGAGGUAAAGGCUCACCAAGGCAACGAUCAGUAGCUGGUCUGAGAGGACGAUCAGCCACACUGGGACUGAGACACGGCCCAGACUCCUACGGGAGGCAGCAGUGGGGAAUUUUGGACAAUAGGGGCAACCCUGAUCCAGCAAUGCCGCGUGAGUGAAGAAGGCCUUCGGGUUGUAAAGCUCUUUUGUCAGGGAAGAAACAGCAGCUCUAACACAGUUUGCGAAUGACGGUACCUGAAGAAUAAGCACCGGCUAACUACGUGCCAGCCGCCGCGGUAA